rnacentral:rRNA from 1 species
CGCGUAGGCGGUCUGGUCAGUCAGGCGUGAAAUUCCCGGGCUCAACCUGGGGGCUGCGCUUGAUACGGUCAGACUAGAGGGUGGAAGAGGCUCGCGGAAUUCCCAGUGUAGAGGUGAAAUUCGUAGAUAUUGGGAAGAACACCGGUGGCGAAGGCGGCGAGCUGGUCCAUACCUGACGCUGAGGCGCGACAGCGUGGGGAGCAAACA